UGCAGUCGAACGAUGAUCCGCAUGCUUGCUAGCGGGGGAUUAGUGGCGAACGGGUGAGUAACACGUGAGUAACCUGCCCUUAACUCUGGGAUAAGCCUGGGAAACUGGGUCUAAUACCGGAUAUGACUCCUCAUCGCAUGGUGGGGGGUGGAAAGCUUUUUGUGGUUUUGGAUGGACUCGCGGCCUAUCAGCUUGUUGGUGAGGUAAUGGCUCACCAAGGCGACGACCGGUAGCCGGCCUGAGAGGGUGACCGGCCACACUGGGACUGAGACACGGCCCAGACUCCUACGGGAGGCAGCAGUGGGGAAUAUUGCACAAUGGGCGCAAGCCUGAUGCAGCGACGCCGCGUGAGGGAUGACGGCCUUCGGGUUGUAAACCUCUUUCAGUAGGGAAGAAGCGAAAGUGACGGUACCUGCAGAAGAAGCGCCGGCUAACUACGUGCCAGCAGCCGCGGUAAUACGUAGGGCGCAAGCGUUAUCCGGAAUUAUUGGGCGUAAAGAGCUCGUAGGCGGUUUGUCGCGUCUGCCGUGAAAGUCCGGGGCUCAACUCCGGAUCUGCGGUGGGUACGGGCAGACUAGAGUGAUGUAGGGGAGACUGGAAUUCCUGGUGUAGCGGUGAAAUGCGCAGAUAUCAGGAGGAACACCGAUGGCGAAGGCAGGUCUCUGGGCAUUAACUGACGCUGAGGAGCGAAAGCAUGGGGAGCGAACAGGAUUAGAUACCCUGGUAGUCCAUGCCGUAAACGUUGGGCACUAGGUGUGGGGGACAUUCCACGUUUUCCGCGCCGUAGCUAACGCAUUAAGUGCCCCGCCUGGGGAGUACGGCCGCAAGGCUAAAACUCAAAGGAAUUGACGGGGGCCCGCACAAGCGGCGGAGCAUGCGGAUUAAUUCGAUGCAACGCGAAGAACCUUACCAAGGCUUGACAUGGGCCGGACCGGGCUGGAAACAGUCCUUCCCCUUUGGGGCCGGUUCACAGGUGGUGCAUGGUUGUCGUCAGCUCGUGUCGUGAGAUGUUGGGUUAAGUCCCGCAACGAGCGCAACCCUCGUUCCAUGUUGCCAGCGCGUAAUGGCGGGGACUCAUGGGAGACUGCCGGGGUCAACUCGGAGGAAGGUGGGGACGACGUCAAAUCAUCAUGCCCCUUAUGUCUUGGGCUUCACGCAUGCUACAAUGGCCGGUACAAAGGGUUGCGAUACUGUGAGGUGGAGCUAAUCCCAAAAAGCCGGUCUCAGUUCGGAUUGGGGUCUGCAACUCGACCCCAUGAAGUCGGAGUCGCUAGUAAUCGCAGAUCAGC
rnacentral:rRNA from 1 species